UACGGAGGGUGCAAGCGUUGUCCGGAUUCAUUGGGUUUAAAGGGUGCGCAGGCGGGACAUUAAGUCAGGGGUGAAAGACGGUUGCUCAACAAUCGCAGUGCCUUUGAUACUGGUGUUCUUGGGUGACCUUGAGGUAGGCGGAAUGGGUGGUGUAGCGGUGAAAUGCGCAGAUAUCAGGAGGAACACCGGUGGCGAAGGCGGGACUCUGGGCCGUAACUGACGCUGAGGAGCGAAAGCGUGGGGAGCGAACAGG
rnacentral:rRNA from 1 species